ensembl:lncRNA
CUUCCAGGUGUCAGUCCCUGAGCAGAACCCCAGGGCCCUGCAGGUUUCUACAGCCCUCUGCCUCCUACUGGUGGAUUUCCUGGAGGUCAAUGAGCAUACUUUUCUAUGAGGGGCUUCGUUUCAGACCACCAGCGGUUCAAGAGGAAGUGGGCAGUUCCAUGUCUUUCUGGGAACUGAGUCUGCUGCUUUCCGGACAGACAAGGGAGACUCAGAAGGCCUGUGGGAGACAGGAGGUUGGGGCUGGCCUUGGAGCAUUGCGGAACCUCCAUGAGUAAGAAUGAAUAACCAGCUCAGAGCUCCUCCUAGCUGGGCAGAGGCACUGACCCAGUUCCUAUCCACUGAAGGCAGAGCUGGCACCUCGCGCAGGCCGAAGAACCACCCUGAUCUGCAUACAAUGGGUCACUAAAAGCCCAGGGACCAGGAAGUCCUCCCAAAGCUCACACCCCUGCUUCCCAGUCUGCAUAGCUGUGCACUGGGAGGAGCCUCAGCCACCCACUCCUGUCCUGUCUUCAGGCCUCCAAACACUACUGCUGACAUCAUGUCUCAAAGAAGGAACAAAACCAAGAAGUAGCUCCUGAGGUUGCCCCAGUCUCCUGAAGACAUAAGAGGGCUGGUCUUUCCUCAGAAACAUUCCUGGAGGAGAGGAAUGAAACCCACACCAGUUCCAUGAACUCAAAAGAAAACAAAGACUCUGGAGGCCCUGCUUGGGGAUUACAUAAGAAAGAUGUCAACAAGUGCUAGCUAGAUGAGACUCUUCAGUGGAGCUGCUUGCUAGCUGAGCCGUAUGAAUGAUCAUUCAUGCUGGAAACUGGCUGUAUGGUGAAGCAGCUAUCAGAUCAGUAAACUCACUGGUUUACCUAACUAGAAUAGGAUAGAACGUUUCUUUGGUCUGUCAUCAGUGACCUAUCUGGAAAGAAUCCAAGUUUGUUCAUGUAUCCCCAGGAGAAGUCUCAUGAAAGUUUACUCAAGAUUCUUUACUUGCUGGAUGGGGCCAGAGCCCCAGGAGACACAAACCAGGUCUAGGCGAAGUCACUCUGAGAUGCCUGCAUCACUAAAAUCCCGGGGAAACCAAAACACAAAAUGUGACAUAAAGCUAUUGCUGUUGAAGUCACUCAUUCAGGGAGGAAUUUUCCAUGUCUUUCUAAGGUAUUAGGUACAGUCUGCACACUGUAAGGUACAGUCUGAUGACCUCAGAUAGUGUCUGAUUAACCAAUAGAAGACAGGUCCAGAUAAAAAUGUGUGCAGUCCUGAAUUCUAAGCUGUGCUCUGCCUUGGACAGUACUCAAUAGGACACUGGGAUUGAUAGAUAAGGAAAACAACCCCAACUUUCCUAUGGGUAUCAGCAGUUUGUCUACAGAUGCUGCAAGUCCUGCUGUUCUCCUACAACUGCUCUGUGGACCAGGAGGCUGUUGCAAGGUACAGGAUACUGCCAAUGGGGAGCAGUCCUGGUCCUUCAAUGAGCAGUGGAGGUACCGCUGAGCUGUCUACCUGUAGCAGAGUUGGGUGAUGGAACGUACUGGCUUUGGUAUGGGACUCUCCCUUCCUCCUAUUGCAGUUUGUGAAGGAAAUGGAUCAUUAGCUUAGUAACAAAAGCCACUGCAUCUAGGCUGACCAUCUCCACCCCUCCAUGUUAGCUGGAGCAUCUUACACAGCCAAUGGCAUAGGGUGCCGAGCACAGGCCAACCAGCCGAGGGGAUGAACACACAGGGACAGCAUAGGGAGAAGCCUAAAACACUGGAAGGUCUUCAGGGACAUUGAGGGUAUUGAGAAUGGUGAGAGAUAGGACUGGGAUGGCCUGGAAGUACAACUGUGGGGAGACUGGGAAGUCAGGGCUGGGAGGUAUUGGGGCAUGCUGGGAACAAGGGAGUCCUCAGACACAGCAGAACAACUGCUUAGGAUGGAGAAGUGGGCUCCAAAGCCAGGCUUUGAGGAUGUCCGAGAGCCAGGCAAGUGUGCAGACUUCAUUCAGAGAAGAUCCCUCAAGUAUCAGGUGAGCCAUGGAGAUGGCACUUUGAGGACCCCAUGUCCUAGUUAGCUUUAAUUGUCAAUUUGACAGAGUCUAGAGUCACCUGAGAGCAAAACCUCCAUUGAGGAAUCCCCUAGGUCAGAUUGGCCUGUGGGAAUGUCUGUGGAGGAUUAUCCUGAUCCAUUAAUUGAUGCAGGAGGUCCCAGCUCACUGUCGGAAGUACCAUUCCCUGGAUAGGUAGGUCAUGGCCUGUAUAAUGAAAUGAGUGAGCAAUCCAAAGAGUAUAGUAGCAAGCAGCACUCUUCCACAGCACUCUGCCUUGAGUUUCUGCUCUGACUUCCACCAACGAUCAACUGUGACCUACAAGUGUAAGAUUAAAUGAUCCCUUUUCUUUAAA